rnacentral:rRNA from 1 species
GUACACACCGCCCGUCAYACCAUGGGAGUUGGCUUUACCCGAAGGUGGUGCGCUAACCCGCAAGGGAGGCAGCCAACCACGGUAGGGUCAGCGACUGGGGYKAAGUCGUAACAAGGUAGCAGUAGGUGAACCUGCAGAAGGAUCA